rnacentral:lncRNA from 1 species
AAAUGUACCUUCCUGUCUCAGGUUGCAGUACCUGGGUUCACUGUAAUGGCAGGGUGGCUGCAUUUAGGUGGCAGUACUUUUAGAGAGUAAAACCUCGUCUUUUAUUGUGUAUUCAAUGAAGCUGCUUCCGGAACGGCUCCUGUAGGGCAGAGAUCACCCUUGUAACAAAGUGUUGUCUCUUUAAAACAUAUGACUUAAGAGGCAAAACAGGAGUCCUGGGUAUAAAAAGUAGCUCUAGUUAGAAAUAGUCAACCCCCACCCUUUUUCCAAGAUAGGGCACACUAUUUAUUUAGCUCUGGCAGGCUGGCCUUGAACUUACUGAGUUCAGGCUAGCCAGAGAUACAUAGACCCCUGUUUCAGACAGACAAACACCAAACACUCUCCACCUAGACUGGUGUGGCUCACUGUUGAGUAACAAAGCUGUUACUAGAAGCCAGGCCUUCUGACCUUUAACUGAGACUUGGUUUGCACACAGUGCGAUGCAGAUCACAGGGAGGACAGAACCACAUGUCCUAUUUUGUCUUUC